UUCUGGUUGAUCCUGCCGGAGGCUACCGCUAUUGGAGUUCGAUUAAGCCAUGCGAGUCGAGAGUCUUAGGGACUCGGCGUACCGCUCAGUAACACGUGGGUAACCUGCCCUAUGCUGGGGAAUAACCUCGGGAAACUAAGAAUAAUGCCCCAUAGUCCACAAUGCCUGGAACGGUUUGUGGAUUAAAGCCCCGGCGGCAUAGGAUGGGCCUGCGGCGUAUCAGGUUGUAGGGGGUGUAACGUACCCCUCUAGCCAUCAACACGUACGGGUGUUGGGAGACAUAGCCCGGAGAUGGAUUCUGAGACACGAAUCCAGACCCUACGGGGUGCAGCAGGCGCGAAAACUUGGCAAUGCGAGAAAUCGUGACCAGGGAACUCCAAGUGGCUGGGGUAAGACCCAGUCUUUUCUUGACUCUUCAAAGGUCUUGGAAUAAGAGGUGGGUAAGGACGGUGCCAGCCGCCGCGGUAAUACCGGCGCCUCAAGUGGUAGUCGAUUUUAUUGGGCCUAAAACGUCCGUAGCCUGUUUGGUACAUUCGUGGGUAAAUCAACCAGCUCAACUGGUUGAAUUCUGCGAGCACGGCCAGACUUGGGACCGGGAGAGGUGUGGGGUACGCUCAGGGUAGGGGUAAAAUCCUGUCAUCCUGAGCGGACCACCUGUUGCGAAGGCGCCACACUAGAACGGAUCCGACGGUCAGGGACGAAGCCUAGGGGCACGAACCGGAUUAGAUACCCGGGUAGUCCUAGGUGUAAACGCUGUGGACUUGGUGUUGGGGAUUCUCCGAGGAUCUUCAGUGCCGAAGCGAAGGUGAUAAGUCCACUGCCUGGGGAGUACGGUCGCAAGGCUGAAACUUAAAGGAAUUGGCGGGGGAGCACCGCAACCUGAGGAUUGUGCGGUUUAAUUGGACUCAACGCCGGGA
rnacentral:rRNA from 1 species